GACGAACGCUGGCGGCGUGCUUAACACAUGCAAGUCGAACGGAAAGGCCUUUUCGGAGGUACUCGAGUGGCGAACGGGUGAGUAACACGUGGGUGAUCUGCCCUGCACUCUGGGAUAAGCCUGGGAAACUGGGUCUAAUACCGGAUAGGACCGCACUUUAGUGUGUGUGGUGGAAAGUUUUUUCGGUGUAGGAUGAGCCCGCGGCCUAUCAGCUUGUUGGUGGGGUAAUGGCCUACCAAGGCGGCGACGGGUAGCCGGACUGAGAGGUUGGUCGGCCACAUUGGGACUGAGAUACGGCCCAGACUCCUACGGGAGGCAGCAGGGGGGAAUAUUGCACAAGGGGCGCAAGCCUGAUGCAGCGACGCCGCGGGGGGGAUGACGGCCUUCGGGUUGUAAACGCCUUUCGCCAGGGACGAAGCGUUUUGUGACGGUACCUGGAGAAGAAGCACCGGCUAACUACGUG
rnacentral:rRNA from 1 species